rnacentral:lncRNA from 1 species
UGAACCGUGAAAAUGAGGUCAAGGUCAAAUAAAACCUGCGCGACUGACAUAUAGAUCAUACAAUAUUUCCAUACACCAAAUAAUUAGUUGACCAUAUAGUAUUAAAAAAACCCACCAAAACUCAAAAACUUAACUUUGACCACUGAACCAUGAAAAUGAGGUCAAGGUCAGGUGACACCUGCAAGCUAGACAUGUACACCUUACAAUCAUUCCAUACACCAAAUAUAGUAGACCUAUUGCAUACAGUAUAAGAAAAACAAACCAAAACACAAAAACCUAACUAUAACCACUGAACCAUGAAAAUGAGGUCAAGGUCAGAUGACACCUGCCAGUUGGACAUGUACACCUUACAAUCAUUCCAUACACCAAAUAUAGUAGACCUAUUGUAUACAGUAUAAGAAAAACAGACCAAAACACAAAAACUUAAGUAUAACCACUGAACCAUGAAAAUGAGGUCAAGGUCAGAUGACACCUGCCAGUUGGACAUGUACACCUUACAGUCCAUCCAUACACUGAAUAUACAAGACCUAUUGCUUAUAGUAUCUGAGAUAUGGACUUGACCACCAAAACUUAACCUUGUUCACUGAUCCCUGAAAUGAGGUCGAGGUCAAGUGAAAAGUGUCUGGCGGGCAUGAGGACCUUGCAAGGUACGCACAUACCAAAUAUAGUUAUCCUAUUACUUAUAAUAAGAGAGAAUUUAACAUUACAAAAAAUCUUAACUUUUUUUUCGAGUAGUCACUGAACCAUGAAAAUGAGGUCAAGGACAUUGGACAUGUGACUGACGGAAACUUCGUAACAUGAGGCAUCUAUAUACAAAGUAUGAAGCAUCCAGGUCUU